GAGGAUUACAUGAUGAUGAUAAUCAAAUUACUCACAUAUAUAAAAUUAUCACAUAAGAGUAUCAGGUAUCCAAACAUCAAGCAUUAAAAGGAGACCAAAAAUCCAAUCGUAUCGAGAUAGUAGAAGCAAUCGCAAAUGUUUUUUAGGGGAAAAGGCAUCAUUGACUGAUUGACACACGACCUCUGUUGCCGCUGCUGUAGUCAGCCG
rnacentral:lncRNA from 1 species